AGUGAACGCUGGCGGUAGGCCUAACACAUGCAAGUCGAACGGCAGCACAGUAAGAGCUUGCUCUUACGGGUGGCGAGUGGCGGACGGGUGAGGAAUACAUCGGAAUCUACUUUUUCGUGGGUGAUAACGUAGGGAAACUUACGCUACUACCGCAUACGACCUACGGGUGAAAGCAGUGGAUCUUCGGACCUUGCGCGAUUGAAUUAGCCGAUGUCGGAUUAGCUAGUUGGCGGGGUAAAGGCCCACCAAGGCGACAAUCCGUAGCUGGUCUGAGAGGAUGAUCAGCCACACUGGAACUGAGACACGGUCCAGACUCCUACGGGAGGCAGCAGUGGGGAAUAUUGGACAAUGGGCGAAAGCCUGAUCCAGCCAUACCGCGUGGGUGAAGAAGGCCUUCGGGUUGUAAAGCCCUUUUGUUGGGAAAGAAAAGCAGCAGGUUAAUACCCCGCUGUUCUGACGGUACCCAAAGAAUAAGCACCGGCUAACUUCGUG
rnacentral:rRNA from 1 species